GACGAACGCUGGCGGCGUGCCUAACACAUGCAAGUCGAGCGGAGACAGUGAGUAGCUUGCUAUGAGCUGUUUUAGCGGCGGACGGGUGAGUAACGCGUGAGCAACCUUUCCCAGACAGGGGAAUAACACACCGAAAGGUGUACUAAUACCGCAUAAGACCACGGGAUCACAUGGUUCUGGGGUAAAAGAUUUAUCGGUUUGGGGUGGGCUCGCGUCCGAUUAGGUAGUUGGUGAGGUAACGGCUCACCAAGUCGACGAUCGGUAGCCGGACUGAGAGGUUGAACGGCCACAUUGGGACUGAGACACGGCCCAGACUCCUACGGGAGGCAGACAGUGGGGAAUAUUGCACAAUGGGCGAAAGCCUGAUGCAGCAACGCCGCGUGAGGGAAGACGGUUUUCGGAUUGUAAACCUCUGUUUCGGUGACGAACAAAUGACGGUAACCGAGUAGGAAGCCACGGCUAACUACGUG
rnacentral:rRNA from 1 species